rnacentral:rRNA from 1 species
AUUGAACGCUGGCGGCAGGCUUAACACAUGCAAGUCGAGCGGGGUGAUGGUGCUUGCACUAUCACUUAGCGGCGGACGGGUGAGUAAUGCUUAGGAAUCUGCCUAUUAGUGGGGGACAACAUCUCGAAAGGGAUGCUAAUACCGCAUACGUCCUACGGGAGAAAGCAGGGGAUCACUUGUGACCUUGCGCUAAUAGAUGAGCCUAAGUCGGAUUAGCUAGUUGGUGGGGUAAAGGCCUGCCAAGGCGACGAUCUGUAGCGGGUCUGAGAGGAUGAUCCGCCACACUGGGACUGAGACACGGCCCAGACUCCUACGGGAGGCAGCAGUGGGGAAUAUUGGACAAUGGGGGGAACCCUGAUCCAGCCAUGCCGCGUGUGUGAAGAAGGCCUUAUGGUUGUAAAGCACUUUAAGUGAGGAGGAGGCUCUUUUGGUUAAUACCCAGAAUGAGUGGACGUUACUCGCAGGAUAAGCACCGGCUAACUCUGUGCCAGCCGCCGCUGUAACAC